UUCUGUCAAUAGUUUUCUUGUGUGCAGAUUGUGGGCAAUAUAAUUGACUAAGUGUUUGUGUUACAGGUUCCUCUCCUCUCCCUCUGUGGGGGAACCUUGUCUGCUUUCAGUGUAGGGACUGCACGGUGUGACACUUUAAAAGGUUAGCAGGCAUUGUGACCUAGUGGACCAGACCUGCCCAUCUGAGGAGGGGAACCCCACCAUGUAAUAGUGUAAAGUAUGUGUACCCGUUGACAGCUGCUGAACAUUGACAUGUUAACAUGUAUAUUUGUGAAAUAAAGCUGCUUUCUAUUUGCUCA